GUAGUAGUAGUAGUAGUAGUAGUAGUAGUAGUAGUAGGAGGAGGAGGAGGACUGAGGAAAUGUGAUAGUAGUAGUAGUAGUAGUAGUAGUAGUAGUAGUAGUAGUAGUAGUAGUAGUAGUAGUAGUAGUAGUAGUAGUAGUAGUAGUAGUAGUAGUAGUAGUAGUAGUAGUAGUAGUAGUAGUAGUAGUAGUAGUAGUAGUAAUUACCUCCACCUCUGUGUGAUUUAAUCCUUCCUAAAUAGACUACAAGAAGCACCUGAGUAAUUAGCAUUCACCUGUAGUGUUAAAUUAGGUCAGGUUAAACUAGGUUAGGUAAGGUAAGGUAGGGUAAGGUUAGAUAUGGUUAGGUAAGGUUAGACUAGGUUAGGUUAGAUAUGGUUAGGUAAGGUAACGUUAGGUUAGGUUAGAUAUGGUUAGGUAAGGUAAGGUAAUGUUAGGUUAGGUUAGAUAUGGUUAGGUAAGGUAAUGUUAGGUUAGGUUAAAUAUGGUUAGGUAAGGUAAUGUUAGGUUAGGUUAGAUAUGGUUAGGUAAGGUAAGAUGAUGUUAGGUUAGGUUAAAUAUGGUUAGGUAAGGUAAGGUAAUGUUAGGUUAGGUUAGAUAUGGUUAGGUAAGGUAAUGUUAGGUUAGGUUAGAUAUGGUCAGGUAAGGUAAUGUUAGGUUAGGUUAGAUAUGGUUAGGUAAGGUAAGGUAAUGUUAGGUUAGAUAUGGUUAGGUAAGGUAAUGUUAGGUUAGAUAUGGUUAGGUAAGGUAAGGUAAUGUUAGGUUAGGUUAGAUAUGGUUAGGUAAGGUAAGGUAAUGUUAGGUUAGGUUAGAUAUGGUUAGGUAAGGUAAUGUUAGGUUAGGUUAGAUAUGGUUAGGUAAGGUAAGGUAAUGUUAGGUUAGGUUAGAUAUGGUUUGGUAAGGUAAGGUAAUGUUAGGUUAGGUUAGAUAUGGUCAGGUAAGGUUAGGUAACAAACAUUAACUAACACCAAAUUAUAACUAUACACGUGUACACAUAUGACCCACAGCUAUGCA